rnacentral:ncRNA from 1 species
GAUUGCAUCUUUCUUAACAACCUCUCUGCAAUCGCGGCUG